AUGGAUAUCCUCAUCUCUGCAAUCGUAGGCGACCUCAUCAGCAGGUCUGCAUCAUUCGUGAUCAGCAAAUACUUCCAGCAGCAGCCUGACAUCAACAAGAUUGUCCAAAGGCUACAGAGUGUUGUACUGAGAAUCGACAUCGUCGUCGAGGAGGCCGAGGCGCGGGACAUCACCAACCAGGGGAUGCUCCGUCAGCUCAAGAUGUUGAGGCAAGGGAUGUACAGAGGCCACUAUGUUCUCGAUGCCUUGAGAUUCCAAGCAGCCCUCGACGAGGAGAAGGUAAGCCACUCAUCAUCUGCGCUCUCUAAAUCCAGUGCAGCCAAACGGCUCCGUUUCUCUCGGACCGGCAGUGGCAGCAGCAACAGAGAAGCAUUGUUGUUUGAAGGUAGUCUCAAGGAUGAAGGACUUGUUGACCUGAAAGGAAACAAUAUUAGUGGUCUAGUCAGACAUCAAAAUUCUGCUUCUCAAAACAGGUUGCUGAUUAUUGUUGAACUAGCUGAGGAUAUUAAUGAGGGAACAUGGAGAAGGUUGAAAUCUUCCGCAAGCAGCAUGGCACCAGGUGGGAGCAAAAUUGUAAUCACCAGUCGAUCAAAUAGAAUUGUGAGUCUGGGAACAACAGAAGCACUUCGACUGGACUAUCUCCCGCAAGAAGCUUAUUGGCAUUUUUUCAAGUCGCUUGCAUUCGGAAGCACAAACCCAGAUGAGCAGCCAAAUAUGGCAAAGAUGGCCAUGGAGAUGGCUUUGGAGCAGAGGCAGAGUUUCACAGGCGCGCAUAUCGUUGCUGGGAUACUGCGAGCUAACAUCAAUGCUCGAUUUUGGCGCACAAUUCUUGAAUGUGUAAGAGCAUAUAAACGGACAAAUCUCCUUUUGUUUGACCAGCACCCAUACUUUCGUUUGCGGGUAGAUGAACCGGUGUACUAUUGGACCUUGGAGAAGAGCCGCAGAUAUUUCUUGAUUUGCAACUAUCAUCAGUCAGAUUCCACCGAGAGUGUUCCAAAGAUCAGUGUGCAGGACAUUCUCCUAGGACGUGGUGGUACACUACCCUAUGGAGAAUUUGAGGCUCUUUCAUGGAGGUCUAGCAUACCGCCCUACUACAACUACAUGGUAAGCUGUAAGAUGCAAGCACCACGACUUACAGUGGGAAGGAAGAGGCGCGUGCAUCAAGAGGAACAACAUUUUAUUUGA
rnacentral:rRNA from 1 species